rnacentral:rRNA from 1 species
UACGGGGGGAGCAAGCGUUGUUCGGAUUUACUGGGCGUAAAGGGCGCGUAGGCGGCCACCGCAAGUCGACUGUGAAAUCUCCGGGCUUAACCCGGAAAGGUCAGCCGAUACUGCGGGGCUAGAGUGCAGAAGGGGCAACUGGAAUUCUCGGUGUAGCGGUGAAAUGCGCAGAUAUCAGGAGGAACACCAAUGGCGAAGGCAGCUCGCUGGGACGGUACUGACGCUGAGACGCGAAAGCGUGGGGAGCAAACAGG